AGAACUCACAGAGAAGGAGGGCAUUUCUUUCUUCACUGAAUUAGAUAUCUGAGAUGGAGCAGCCAUAUCCUGACCACAAAGUGACAAGCACAAGGGAAAAAUCCAACAUGCUUAGGAGAUUGGAGAAGUUAGAAACAACCUGGGUCCCUGAUGGCUUCAAUGAGCAGCUAAAACAACAUCAGUAACUACAUACCUUUAGAUUUCUUGUUAUAUGAGAAAAAGCAUAUAUUUAUUUUCCAAAACUAUUGUGGUUUUCUGUUAUCUGCAACUCUACAUGAUCCCAAUGGCUAAAUAUGUAUGUAUAGAACUGUUUUAUAUAUAUACAUAUGUAAAGAGAGAGAGAGAGGAAUGUAGUACACACACACACACACACUUAAAGGCACAUUUUUCCUUAAUUAGCACUUUAAAUUAGAGAAGAAUUAAGCAAUAGGCAGUGAGCAAUGGCUGAGCUAAAAAACAGCUCUUGGAUCUCAAGACUACUUGACUUCAAGUAUUUAUUUAUUUAUUCCAGAUUUUAUUUAUUUAUUUAUUUAUUUAUUUAUUUAUUUAUUUAUUUAUGAGAGACACCGAAAGAGAGGCAGAGACACAGGCAGAGGGAGGACAAGGAAGCUCCAUGCAAGGAAUGCAAUGUGGGACUCGAUCCCAGGAAUCCUGGAUCACACUGAGCCAAAGACAGCCGCUGGGCCACCCAGGCGUCCCUGAUUUCAGGUUGCUACUACUUCUACCCCUGAAAGCCAAGGCCCUGAUCCAACUCAGGAGAGAAAUGAGAAGCAGGGGAUCCCUGGGUGGCGCAGUGGUUUGGCGCUUGCCUUUGGCCCAGGGCGCGAUCCUGGAGACCCGGGAUCGAAUCCCACAUCAGGCUCCCGGUGCAUGGAGCCUGUUUCUCCCUCUGCCUAUGUCUCUGCCUCUCUCUCUCUGUCUCUCUGUGACUAUCAUAAAUAAAUAAAAAUUAAAAAAAAAUUAAAAAAAAAAAAGAAAUGAGAAGCAGGAGCUGGUUUUGAGAGACUGAACUCAAACAAUAUCCGAGAUUGCAGGGGAAAGGGAAGUGGG
rnacentral:lncRNA from 1 species